UACGUAGGUGGCGAGCGUUAUCCGGAAUUAUUGGGCGUAAAGAGCGCGCAGGUGGUUGAUUAAGUCUGAUGUGAAAGCCCACGGCUUAACCGUGGAGGGUCAUUGGAAACUGGUCGACUUGAGUGCAGAAGAGGGAAGUGGAAUUCCAUGUGUAGCGGUGAAAUGCGUAGAUAUCGGGAGGAACACCGGUGGCGAAGGCGGCUUUCUGGCCAGUUACUGACGCUCAUGCGCGAAAGCUGGGGUAGCGAACCGGAUUAGAUACCCUGGUAGU
rnacentral:rRNA from 1 species